GAUGAACGCUAGCGACAGGCUUAACACAUGCAAGUCGAGGGGCAGCGAGGGCGUAGCAAUACGCCUGUCGGCGACCGGCGCACUGGUGAGUAACACGUAUGCGACCUGCCCCCUACAGGGGUAUAACCCGUAGAAAUGCGGACUAAUCCCCCAUAGUCCCGUUGGCUGCAUGGCCAUCGGGGGAAAGGGUUUCCGGUAGGGGAUGGGCAUGCGGCGCAUUAGCUAGUUGGCGGGGCAACGGCCCACCAAGGCGACGAUCGGUAGGGGUUCUGAGAGGAAGGUCCCCCACAUUGGAACUGAGACACGGUCCAAACUCCUACGGGAGGCAGCAGUGAGGAAUAUUGGUCAAUGGACGCAAGUCUGAACCAGCCAAGUAGCGUGCAGGAUGACGGCCCUAUGGGUUGUAAACUGCUUUUAUGCGGGGAUAAAGUGUGGGACGUGUCCCAUAUUGUAGGUACCGCAUGAAUAAGGACCGGCUAAUUCCGUG
rnacentral:rRNA from 1 species